rnacentral:rRNA from 1 species
AUUGAACGCGUGGCGGCAUGCCUUACACAUGCAAGGUCGAACGGCAGCACGGGAGCAUCCUGGUGGCGAGUGGCGAAACGGGUGAGUAAUAUAUCGGAACGUGCCCAGUAGUGGGGGAUAGCCCGGCGAAAGCCGGAUUAAUACCGCAUACGACCUGAGGGUGAAAGCGGGGGAUCGCAAGACCUCGCGCUAUUGGAGCGGCCGAUAUCAGAUUAGCUAGUUGGUGGGGUAAAGGCCUACCAAGGCUACGAUCUGUAGUUGGUCUGAGAGGACGACCAGCCACACUGGGACUGAGACACGGCCCAGACUCCUACGGGAGGCAGCAGUGGGGAAUUUUGGACAAUGGGCGCAAGCCUGAUCCAGCAAUGCCGCGUGCAGGAAGAAGGCCUUCGGGUUGUAAACUGCUUUUGUCAGGGAAGAAAUCUUCUGGGCUAAUACCCCGGGAGGAUGACGGUACCUGAAGAAUAAGCACCGGCUAACUACGUG